AUUUGAUUUCAGAACAAAUUCAUACUUAGUUGUUAUUUCUAUUUUGUGAAACUCAAAAUGUUAGCUUAAAUGUUCAAUUAUAAUCAACAUAAUUAUGGGAAUUUAAAAACUAGAACAAAGUAUUGUCACUUUUGAACAUUUUAUUAAGUAGGCACUGUACUGCAACAUUAUUUUAAAAUAAAGGUUAGAUAUUAACCAGGAAUGUGGAUAUUGCUAUUAUUUCACAAAAAUCUUGCAUGUGACUACUACAGUGAUAGUUUGAGAGAAGACUACCAGGGAAUUUAAUCUUGUGGAACAUAACAAACAUUCAUAUUGAAGACUUGUGCAUACAAUUAUUAUAACAAAACCUAAAAUAUCCAAUCAAUCUGUGAGAUAUAUUUUAUGGAUAAAAUAAUUUUUAGAUAGUAUUUACACAUAGUUGUAAGUAACAUAUUUCUGAAUGUUAUAACUAAACCUAAUUUUACAUAUUUAGUUGUAAAUAUUUAAUAAUAAGCCAUUGAAAUCGUGAAGACAAAUAUUUGUAAUAUUUAUAAUUAUUUUUAAUUUAAUAUCAUAAAGUUUAUUUUUUUUUUACUCAACCUAGUUAAACAGCCAAAAGUAAGUGUCAAAUAAAACUAUUAGGUCCAAUAUUGUAAGAUGUUUUAAUUUAAAGAUAAUAAUUUUAGCUUAAUAUUCAAAUGUAUUUUAAUUUUCAAUUAAUUCUACAUUUCAUUUGAAGUUGUAAAUUUUUUUUUAGAAGUAAUAAUUAUAUUUAAACUGUGCAUUAAUAUAAGAAUCUACAAUAAAACCUUAUUAAUAUUUUCAAUAAUUAAUACAGACCGUAAACAAUUUUAUCUAUAGCUAUUGAAGUUGAAGUAGUGUGUCAUAUUAAAUUGUAAUUUGAAACUGCACCGUAAGCAAUAAGGUUUAUAUUAUAGUAUUAAUGUGGCCACUCUUCGAUAUUUGGUAGUUAUAGGUUAGGUUAGUUACAUUAAAGACAAGAGUUAUAUUCAGUGGUCGGGACGCUACUAGUUUUUUGUCACACGCUAAUGCUACGGCUAGUCCCCGAAAAAAAGUAGCUUGCACUUUUAAAUUUUCCAAUUGAAAAUUGAUAGUUUAUAGUUUGUACUGAUUUAACAUUUGGUCACUAGACGGGUUUUAACUACGCAAGUUAAUCGUGGAUUAAACCCGAAAAAGGCAUUAAUAUACUCAUCAUUAUUAUAAUGUAAAUAAAUAAAUAUUAUAGUUGUUUUAACUAUCACCAAAUAAGUAUUGAAGGUAGCGAAAAAAUAAUGGUCAUUUUCGCUAUGCUAACUAAAAAUUACUAGCGCACUAAAGUAUAUCGCUACAAUGAGCGCGCUACUCCCGACCACUGGUUAUAUUAAACAAAUAUAUAUUUUCAUUAAAUAAAAUAUAAUUACAUUUAAUAAUUAAAAUGGCCAUUUCCUUAUAU